AAAAGAAACAACAGACACAUUUGGAGAAUGAAAAUGACAAUGUUAAUGUUUCCUCUGAUGACUCUAGUAGAUCCCAAAGGCCAGCUAUUAGACGGUCAUUUCCUGUACUAUCUCGAAGGAGAAGGAAUAUUCCUUGGACAGAAGAAGAGGAGAAAAUUUUAGUGGAAGGAGUACGGAGAUUUUCAAGUACUUAUUCUAAAAAUUUACCAUGGAAGAUUAUCCUGGAAUUUGGUUGCCAUGUAUUUCAUAAAGGCCGUAACCCAGUUGACCUUAAGGAUAAAUGGAGGAACAUUUGCACCAAAGGAGAUCCAAGAGCUAGGUGAAAAUGAAGACCUGAUGUUGGAUGCUUGAGAUUGGAGAGCUCUACAUGUUCUCAGACGACAUCUCUAGACUUUCUCUUUUAUCUUCACUUUUGAGGGAAGGGGACUUUUGCUUCUUGACAAGGCACAAGCAGGUGGUUUUCUAGUGGAAAUUGCCUUCUCCAAUUGAGACUAGAUUCCGCCCUGCAAAGAUUAACUCAAGCUCUCAGCAGGUGAAAUUCUUUCACUAUUAUUAUACUACUGUAUAAAAGUUUGAACUAUUUUUUACAUGUUUAGUAAGAAUUUUCACUAUGGUAAUACCAUUUCUCAAUUUUUAGAAAUAUUAAUUUAUUUUGAAAUCUUAAAGCUGUCUUGUUCUUUUAGCAAUUUCAAUGUCAAUAAAUGUAUUUAAAAAGUAAAAUACAUACCCAAACA